AGAGUUGAUUAUGGCUCAGGAUGAACGCUAGCGACAGGCUUAACACAUGCAAGUCGAGGGGCAGCAUAGAAGUAGCAAUACUUGGUGGCGACCGGCGCACGGUGAGUAACGCGUAUGCAACCUACCUAUCAGAGGGGAAUAACCCGGCGAAAGUCGGACUAAUACCGCAUAAAACAGGGGCACCGCAUGGUGAUAUUUGUUAAAGAAAUUCGCUGAUAGAUGGGCAUGCGUUCCAUUAGGUAGUUGGUGAGGUAACGGCUCACCAAGCCGACGAUGGAUAGGGGAACUGAGAGGUUGGUCCCCCACACUGGUACUGAGACACGGACCAGACUCCUACGGGAGGCAGCAGUGAGGAAUAUUGGUCAAUGGGCGGGAGCCUGAACCAGCCAAGUCGCCGUGAAGGAAGAAGGAUCUAUGGUUCGUAAACUUCUUUUGCAGGGGAAUAAAGUGCAGGACGUGUCCUGUUUUGUAUGUACCCUGAGAAUAAGGAUCGGCUAACUCCGUGCCAGCCGCCGC
rnacentral:rRNA from 1 species